GGAGGGUGUAGCUCAGUGGUAGGGUGUGUGCUCCACAUGCAUGAGGUCCUGGGUUCAAUCCCCAGUACCUCCA